rnacentral:rRNA from 1 species
AUUGAACGCUGGCGGCAGGCCUAACACAUGCAAGUCGAGCGGUAGCACAGGGAGCUUGCUCCUGGGUGACGAGCGGCGGACGGGUGAGUAAUGUCUGGGGAUCUGCCCGAUGGAGGGGGAUAACUACUGGAAACGGUAGCUAAUACCGCAUAACGUCGCAAGACCAAAGAGGGGGACCUUCGGGCCUCUUGCCAUCAGAUGAACCCAGAUGGGAUUAGCUAGUAGGUGGGGUAAUGGCUCACCUAGGGGACGAUCCCUAGCUGGUCUGAGAGGAUGACCAGCCACACUGGAACUGAGACACGGUCCAGACUGCUAAGGGAGGCAGCAGUGGGGAAUAUUGCACAAUGGGCGCAAGCCUGAUGCAGCCAUGCCGAGUGUAUGAAGAAGGCCUUCGGGUUGUAAAGUACUUUCAGCGAGGAGGAAGGCAUUAAGGUUAAUAACCUUAGUGAUUGACGUUACUCGCAGAAGAAGCAUCGGCUAACUCCGUGCCAGCCGCCGCUGUAA